AUUGAACGCUGGCGGCAUGCUUUACACAUGCAAGUCGAACGGCAGCGCGGGCUUCGGCCUGGCGGCGAGUGGCGAACGGGUGAGUAAUACAUCGGAACGUGCCCAGUAGUGGGGGAUAGCUCGGCGAAAGCCGGAUUAAUACCGCAUACGACCUGAGGGUGAAAGCGGGGGAUUUUCGGACCUCGCGCUAUUGGAGCGGCCGAUGGCAGAUUAGCUAGUUGGUGGGGUAAAGGCCUACCAAGGCGACGAUCUGUAGCUGGUCUGAGAGGACGACCAGCCACACUGGGACUGAGACACGGCCCAGACUCCUACGGGAGGCAGCAGUGGGGAAUUUUGGACAAUGGGCGAAAGCCUGAUCCAGCAAUGCCGCGUGUGUGAUGAAGGCCUUCGGGUUGUAAAGCACUUUUGGCGGGAACGAAAAGGACUGUGCCAAUACCACGGUUCGAUGACGGUACCCGCAGAAUAAGCACCGGCUAACUACGUG
rnacentral:rRNA from 1 species